CUUUGUCUGGCAUGCUAAAUCACAGAGAAGAGCAAAGAUCCUGGCAUAUAAAAGGGAUGAUCACUGCUUCUGCAUUAUGAUGACAUUCAAGACUUCAGCCUUCGGAAGUAGGAGGAAUGAGCUUGCCUUGCAGCAGAUGUCAUUUAGUUUACUCUUUACUUAAAGAGGACAGUCCGACUUAAAAAAUUAACAUGGGGAAACUCAUCAUGCCUAUGCAAAUGGACAGGUACUACAAGAUAGGUAAGUAACUGUGCUGAUGUAGUAAC
rnacentral:lncRNA from 1 species